CCCAAUGUGAUAACCGUAACUCAACCACCACAUGACUUCGUAGAGGGAUUUACAAUCACUUAUGCAUGUCAGAGUGGGUAUGUACGGAAGAGUGGAUCUACAACAAUCACCUGUACCAAUUCACAGUGGUCACAGUUGACCUUGGUGUGUGAACGCCGAUCAUGUGGAAGUCCAGGAGAGAUACUUAAUGGACACUUUAAUACUGAUGAGGGUGUUCUUUUUGGAGACAAGGCUUAUGCAGUUUGUGAUGAAGGAUUCCAGUUGGCAGGCAAUGGUGUCAGAAACUGUCGCGCUGCUGGCUGGGACGGUGACAUUCCUAUAU